rnacentral:lncRNA from 1 species
ACAGAGACUGAAAAUAAGAAAGGGGUGAGGCCUAAGGGACAAUCAGGAUGUUUUUCAGAGAGAAGUGUGGAUGCUGGACAGGAAGAACCACAGAUACCAGAUACGGGAAGAAUCAACACUUUCAGAGAUGGAGCCUGUUGAGCCACAGUACCAACUAGUCAAUGCUGAAUCGACUUCUCCCUUUCUACAUUGCCUGAGAGAAGUCAUUGGGGAAUACUCUAGAGUCAAGGGAUUGGAUUGUGGAUUGCAUUGGUGGUUUUCCUCAGUUUCCUCAUCUUCUCCACAAGUUUCUACAUAUCGAAUGCAGAGCAGCCCUUCUUCAAAGGACCUCCUACGGAAGCUGCUAAGGAACUCAGUCUGUAGCUCUGCGUGGAGCCAUGUGUAAACACUGAACUGAGACCUGCCACCUCCUACUACCUAAGGGCCCAUUUUCAUCUGAUAUCAUCCCCCAGAAACAAACUCAUGAUGACUUCCAUGUUUUUUUUAGAUUAGAUACAUGGAGAAUUUUCCUUUCCCUUAGAAUUAAAAUCCUGCAUUCUAA